rnacentral:rRNA from 1 species
GUGUCAGCCGCCGCGGUAAUACGGAGGGCGCAAGCGUUAAUCGGAAUCACUGGGCGUAAAGCGUGCGUAGGCUGUUUGAUAAGUCAGGCGUGAAAUCCCUCGGCUCAACCGGGGAACUGCGUUUGAUACUGUUGAACUAGAGUCCUGGAGAGGGUGGCGGAAUUCCUGGUGUAGGAGUGAAAUCCGUAGAUAUCAGGAGGAACACCGGUGGCGAAGGCGGCCACCUGGACAGGUACUGACGCUGAGGUACGAAAGCGUGGGGAGCAAACAGGAUUAGAAACCCGGGUAGUCC